rnacentral:pre_miRNA from 13 species
UGUAAACAUCCUUGACUGGAAGCUGGUGUUUAGUUCUGGGGCUUUCAGUCGGAUGUUUGCA